rnacentral:rRNA from 1 species
GACGAACGCUGGCGGCGUGCUUAACACAUGCAAGUCGAACGGAAAGGCCCUGCUUUUGUGGGGUGCUCGAGUGGCGAACGGGUGAGUAACACGUGAGUAACCUGCCCUUGACUUUGGGAUAACUUCAGGAAACUGGGGCUAAUACCGGAUAGGAGCUCCUGCUGCAUGGUGGGGGUUGGAAAGUUUCGGCGGUUGGGGAUGGACUCGCGGCUUAUCAGCUUGUUGGUGGGGUAGUGGCUUACCAAGGCUUUGACGGGUAGCCGGCCUGAGAGGGUGACCGGCCACAUUGGGACUGAGAUACGGCCCAGACUCCUACGGGAGGCAGCAGUGGGGAAUAUUGCACAAUGGGCGGAAGCCUGAUGCAGCAACGCCGCGUGCGGGAUGACGGCCUUCGGGUUGUAAACCGCUUUCGCCUGUGACGAAGCGUGAGUGACGGUAAUGGGUAAAGAAGCACCGGCUAACUACGUGCCAGCAGCCGCGGUGAUACGUAGGGUGCGAGCGUUGUCCGGAUUUAUUGGGCGUAAAGGGCUCGUAGGUGGUUGAUCGCGUCGGAAGUGUAAUCUUGGGGCUUAACCCUGAGCGUGCUUUCGAUACGGGUUGACUUGAGGAAGGUAGGGGAGAAUGGAAUUCCUGGUGGAGCGGUGGAAUGCGCAGAUAUCAGGAGGAACACCAGUGGCGAAGGCGGUUCUCUGGGCCUUUCCUGACGCUGAGGAGCGAAGGCGUGGGGAGCGAACAGGCUUAGAUACCCUGGUAGUCCACGCUGUAAACGGUGGGUACUAGGUGUGGGGUCCAUUCCACGGGUUCCGUGCCGUAGCUAACGCUUUAAGUACCCCGCCUGGGGAGUACGGCCGCAAGGCUAAAACUCAAAGGAAUUGACGGGGCCCCGCACAAGCGGCGGAGCAUGCGGAUUAAUUCGAUGCAACGCGUAGAACCUUACCUGGGUUUGACAUGGAUCGGGAGUGCUCAGAGAUGGGUGUGCCUCUUUUGGGGUCGGUUCACAGGUGGUGCAUGCCUGUCGUCAGCUCGUGUCGUGAGAUGUUGGGUUAAGUCCCGCAACGAGCGCAACCCUUGUUCACUGUUGCCAGCACGUUAUGGUGGGGACUCAGUGGAGACCGCCGGGGUCAACUCGGAGGAAGGUGGGGAUGACGUCAAGUCAUCAUGCCCCUUAUGUCCAGGGCUUCACGCAUGCUACAAUGGCUGGUACAGAGAGUGGCGAGCCUGUGAGGGUGAGCGAAUCUCGGAAAGCCGGUCUCAGUUCGGAUUGGGGUCUGCAACUCGACCUCAUGAAGUCGGAGUCGCUAGUAAUCGCAGAUCAGCAACGCUGCGGUGAAUACGUUCCCGGGGCU